rnacentral:ncRNA from 1 species
GUACCGGACGGGAGUUAUACCGCAGUGACCCAUAGUUGUACAUCGAAGGAGAGCGACGACAGAUGUGCAGACGGUGC